GAACUCUGGGGUCGGGCCAGGCUGGAGCUUGGGCUUAGACCAGUGGGGAGGCGAAUUCCACCCUCACAAAGCCCCUGUUGGGGAGUUGGGGUCUCCCACAUCCGACAUCCGGUGGUUCAUCCUGGGGAAGGGGCUGAUGGUGGGAUUCCCACUGCCUGGCUUUCCCAGGGACUGCAGGGUCUGUUCUCAGGCUCCCGGCAUUCCGGGGACUCCCCUGGGAGCUACUGGCCUCUCAGUCCCUUCACUGCCGGGUGGGGGCAGGAAAAAGAGGAUGUAGAUGCAACAUCUUCCUGGGGACUAGGAACCCUUAAGCCAGACAGUAGUGGGUGGGUCGGGCAUUUGAAGCGGUCCCAGCCCUCCCAUCCCAGCCCCCUGAUCUGCUGGACCCUUAGACCAAGGCUGGCCCGCAUGUCCCCUCAGAUCCCAGGGCUUUCUCCGCCUAGGACAGCCCACCUGCUCGACCGCAGCCCCCAGCACCCAGGACCUCCUCCCGGGGAUCCAGCCCUGGCUGGAGGGCGCGGGUAUAGGCUCCUCUGCGCGCCCCAGGAGCCCUACUCCGGAGGUCCAGCCGGCGGCGCCUGGGGGCGGGGCAUCCUGCCUCGCACCAACCCAAACAUUACCAUAAAUGCUCAGGCUGCAGCCUCGGGCCGCGCCGUGCCUGGCGGGGUUGGGGGGGGCGGCCUGGGAG
rnacentral:lncRNA from 1 species